GGUUAAAAAGCUCGUAGUUGGAUAUCAGUGCGUGUCCGGUCCGGUAUGCCUGGCGGCGUCGCUCGCGCGGCACUGCUGGGCUCCCAAAUAUCGGCUGGCCGCAUUCAAUCGUGCCGGAUCCGUCGACGGGCCGUUCUUCGGAGGGGCCUGUUGGCGACCGGCGACGUUACCUUGAACAAAUUAGAGUGCUCAAAGCAGGCUCUGAAUGCCUGUAUACAUAUUCAUGGAAUUGGAGAAUACGUCCCUGGCUCGAUUUGGUUGGUUUUGAGAGUCGAAGGGAAAUGAUUAAUAGGGACUGACGGAGGCAUUCGUAUUGCGACGCGAGGGGUGAAAUCCUGUGACCGUCGCACGACGAACUACUGCGAAAGCAUUUGCCGAGAAUGUUUUCAUUAGUCAAGAACGAAAGUUAGAGGUUCGAAGGCGAUCAGAUACCGCCCUAGUUCUAACCGUAAACGAUGUCGACCAGCAAUCCGCAACGGUCACUACACGGACUGUGCGGGCAGCUUCCCCGGGGAAACCAGAGUUUUUGGACUCCGGGGGAAGUAUGGUUGCAAAGCUGAAACUUAAAGGAAUUGACGGAAGGGCACCACCAGGAGUGGAGCUUGCGGCUUAAUUUGACUCAACACGGGACAACUCACCAGGCCCGGACACCGUAAGGAUUGACAGACUGAUAGCUCUCUCUUGAUUCAGUGGGUGGUGGUGCAUGGCCGUUCUUAGUUGGUGGAGUGAUUUGUCUGGUUUAUUCCGAUAACGAACGAGACUCUGGCCUAUUAAACUUGACACUGUCAGUCUCUUGUGACUGCGGUGCGCUUCUUA
rnacentral:rRNA from 1 species